rnacentral:rRNA from 1 species
UACGUAGGCAGCAAGCGUUGUUCGGAGUUACUGGGCGUAAAGGGUGUGUAGGCGGUUUUUUAAGUUUGGUGUGAAAUCUCCCGGCUCAACCGGGAGGGUGCGCCGAAUACUGAGGGACUAGAGUGUGGGAGAGGAAAGUGGAAUUCCUGGUGUAGCGUUGAAAUGCGUAGAUAUCAGGAGGAACACCGGUGGUGUAGACGGCUUUCUGGACCAUAACUGACGCUGAGACACGAAAGCGUGGGUAGCAAACAGG